GAACCGGUGCUUGCAUCGGGGAUUAGUGGCGAACGGGUGAGUAACACGUGAGUAACCUGCCCUUGACUCUGGGAUAAGCCUGGGAAACUGGGUCUAAUACCGGAUAUGACCUUCCAUCGCAUGGUGGUUGGUGGAAAGCUUUUGUGGUUUUGGAUGGACUCGCGGCCUAUCAGCUUGUUGGUGGGGUAAUGGCCUACCAAGGCGACGACGGGUAGCCGGCCUGAGAGGGUGACCGGCCACACUGGGACUGAGACACGGCCCAGACUCCUACGGGAGGCAGCAGUGGGGAAUAUUGCACAAUGGGCGCAAGCCUGAUGCAGCGACGCCGCGUGAGGGAUGACGGCCUUCGGGUUGUAAACCUCUUUCAGUAGGGAAGAAGCGAAAGUGACGGUACCUGCAGAAGAAGCGCCGGCUAACUACGUGCCAGCAGCCGCGGUAAUACGUAGGGCGCAAGCGUUAUCCGGAAUUAUUGGGCGUAAAGAGCUCGUAGGCGGUUUGUCGCGUCUGCCGUGAAAGUCCGGGGCUCAACUCCGGAUCUGCGGUGGGUACGGGCAGACUAGAGUGAUGUAGGGGAGACUGGAAUUCCUGGUGUAGCGGUGAAAUGCGCAGAUAUCAGGAGGAACACCGAUGGCGAAGGCAGGUCUCUGGGCAUUAACUGACGCUGAGGAGCGAAAGCAUGGGGAGCGAACAGGAUUAGAUACCCUGGUAGUCCAUGCCGUAAACGUUGGGCACUAGGUGUGGGGGACAUUCCACGUUUUCCGCGCCGUAGCU
rnacentral:rRNA from 1 species